GGGAAGUUGGCUCAGUGGUAGAGUGCUUGCCUUGCAUGCAUGAGGCCAUGGGUUCGAUUCCUUAGCACCACA
rnacentral:tRNA from 1 species